GACCUCGGAUCAGGUAGGGAUACCCGCUGAACUUAAGCAUAUCAAUAAGCGGAGGAAAAGAAACCAACAGGGAUUGCCCUAGUAACGGCGAGUGAAGCGGCAACAGCUCAAAUUUGAAAUCUGGCGCUUUCAGCGUCCGAGUUGUAAUUUGCAGAGGGCGCUUUGGCGUUGGCAGCGGUCCAAGUUCCUUGGAACAGGUCGUCACAGAGGGUGAAAAUCCCGUACGUGGCCGCGUGUCUUCGCCGUGUAAAGCCCCUUCGACGAGUCGAGUUGUUUGGGAAUGCAGCUCUAAAUGGGAGGUAAAUUUCUUCUAAAGCUAAAUACUGGCCAGAGACCGAUAGCGCACAAGUAGAGUGAUCGAAAGAUGAAAAGUACUUUGGAAAGAGAGUCAAACAGCACGUGAAAUUGUUGAAAGGGAAGCGCUUGCGGCCAG
rnacentral:rRNA from 1 species